GAUGAAGAACGCAGCGAAAUGCGAUAAGUAAUGUGAAUUGCAGAAUUCAGUGAAUCAUCGAAUCUUUGAACGCACCUUGCGCUCCUUGGUAUUCCGAGGAGCAUGCCUGUUUGAGUGUCAUUAAAUUCUCAAUCUCUACAACUUUGUGUUGUCUAGAUUGGAAGUGGGGGUUUGUUGUGUGGAAUCUAAUUCCUCACUCCCCUUAAAUGCAUUAGCUGGAAUGCCUCUGCAUAUCUGACUAUCAGUGUGAUAAUUAUCUAUGCUGUAGUUGUUGCAUGAGGGUAUCUGCUUCAUAAAUCGUCGCAAGACAAUUCUAUAUGACCAUCUUGACCUCAAAUCAGGUAGGACUACCCGCUGAACUUAAGCAUAUCAAUAAGCGGAGGA
rnacentral:misc_RNA from 1 species